AGUUGGGCACUCUAGAAGAACUGCCGGUGCUAAGCCGGAGGAAGGUGGGGAUGACGUCAAGUCCUCAUGGCCCUUACGGGUAGGGCUACACACGUGCUACAAUGGCGCAUACAGAGGGUCGCUACCUGGCAACAGGAUGCCAAUCUCAAAAAGUGCGUCUCAGUUCGGAUUGGAGUCUGCAACUCGACUCCAUGAAGUUGGAAUCGCUAGUAAUCGCGCAUCAGCAAUGGCGCGGUGAAUACGUUCCCGGACCUUGUACACACCGCCCGUCAAGCCAUGGGAGUUGGGUGGACCUGAAGAUGGUUGCUGUAAGGCGCUAUUUAGGGUAAAACCAGCGACUGGGGCUAAGUCGUAACAAGGUAGCCGUACCGGAAGGUGUG
rnacentral:rRNA from 1 species